rnacentral:rRNA from 1 species
AACGAACGCUGGCGGCAUGCCUAACACAUGCGAGUCGAACGAGACCUUCGGGUCUAGUGGCGCACGGGUGCGUAACGCGUGGGAACCUGCCCUUAGGUUCGGAAUAACUCCCCGAAAGGGGUGCUAAUACCGGAUAAUGUCUUCGGACCAAAGAUUUAUCGCCUUUGGAUGGGCCCGCGUUGGAUUAGCUAGUUGGUAGGGUAAAAGCCUACCAAGGCGACGAUCCAUAGCUGGUCUGAGAGGAUGAUCAGCCACACUGGGACUGAGACACGGCCCAGACUCCGAGGGGGGGGGGGGGUGGGGAAUAUGGGACAAGGGGCAAAAGCCGGACACAGCAGGGCGGGGGGGGGGAAGAAGGCGUUGGGGUUGUAAAGCGCUUUUACCCGGGAUGAAAAGAAAAGUACCGGGAAAAUAAGGCCCGGUUAACUGGGG